GGUAACGGGUGACUGUUAUUUAUUACAUAUUUAUACUGUGAUUGGAAGGGUCAACUACUAGCGUAAAAUCAAUGCUUUUUUUUACGAGGGUUCGGAACAGCAGAGGUCGUUUAAACCCUCUGCCUGAAAAAAAGCCCGUCUGUAAGUAUGCCGCUGGAUUCGAACACGGGACCUUCACCUUACAUUAAUGAGCGUCGUGUCAACGCCUACAUCGUUGCGGCCACCGACCCCCCAUAAUGCCUUAUUGAAUCACCAUUUCUUUUCACUGGUAAAAACCGCCCGAGAUGAACUGACGUGACAUCCUAUGAAAUUGAUCGGCCCCUUGCCACGCAUUCUCUUUAUCGAACUAUGUACAAGUAAUUUCUGAGACUUCGGGCAAAAAGACGGUAAGGAUCAGAGGCGGUGAAACUGCAAGG